AAGAAACAGCCCUUAUUUUUUCAUCUCUGUCCAACAAGAUCAGGAGUUACUGUGUGCUGCAAAAGCAGCAAGAAAUAUCCCUGGCAAAUGUAGAGCAUUCUCUCUCCGAGUGUUCGAGCCAUGAAGGAGCCAAGCCUGGAGGAGAGAUGAGGAAUGGGUCGAAGAAGAACUGGAGGACACACUGCCAGCUGUAUAAGCUAUGGGUACCAAACUUACUUCAGACAUGAGGGGGCAGUCAGUAUGACUUUCACUCUAUCUUGCCAUAUCCGUAAUAGGACAUUUGGCAUCGGAGAGAAUGAAGAAAAGGUGUAUAGCAGCUUCUGCCCCGUGGAAAGAUGAUAGAGUCCCUUACAGACUGGUUCCCCAGUCUGGCUUUGGAGCUGUAGCAGAGACAUUUCUUGCUCCGGUGCCAAGUUUUUAUUGGACAGUGCUGGCAGCGACAACCCGAUCAAUGGUCCAGCCUUCACCCUAAGGAUUUCUCAGACUCACCUGGAGUUAUCGUGCUAAGCCCAUCUCUACUGACUCCAGGCCUUGCAGUUCUCGAUUGUGUAAGAGUCAUGAGCUGGGCUAAUGAGGAGCUCAUGGCACUUCCUGGCUUGCACCUUCAGAUGGGACAGCCUGAAGAAGCACUCUGGAGCACUGAUGGCUUUGCUCAUACCUUCCCAUAAGUCACUGAGCAAGUCCAAAUCAUCAGCAAGGGCUGCAGCUGUUACUUUUUUCAAUCUCACAAGAUUUGCCGUUGUUCAUUAAGCUAACACCCUUCAUUAGUGUUAAACUUAAUUGGGUAUGUUUAGCCUUUGACUUCUUUUGAAAUCAAGAUCUUAGUUUUAGAUUCGGGGCAUGUAAAAGUUGUAGACAAUUUACCCAAAUCUUCUGUUGAAUUAUUAUGUACAGGGGCUGGAGAGGCAGGGGUAGGUGUGUGUGUGUCCCUUCACCCAGUUGUUCACCAAACCUAUCCAUAAUCCUCCCCUAUCCCUUGUGCAGACCGUGCAUCCACAGUACACCACGUGGAUCCAGGCUCUACACAAGGGAUGGGGGAAGAUUAUGGGGUGUAGAGAAGUGGGGGAAACAGCUGUAGAGCUGACUGAUUCCCUUUUAUGUGUAUUGAGGGGAGGGAUCUGUAAUGCAAGAUGCCCCCUCUGUGUGCAGAUCUGAGGGGUAGAGGGCAAUCCAGAAACCAGGCUGGGUAUUGCUAGAAAUUACUAUGGAUUAUUGUAUAUUACUCUAAAUUAUUAUUAAUUACUUUCAAAAUGGACUUGCUCUCCUGCUCCUACGGAAAUGAAUGACUAAUUAUAGGUGGUGCUGAUUUGGGGGCUAUUGUAUUUAUUGGGUGGGUCCAUGAGCUGGAUGGUGAUUUUUAAAGGAUUUA